AGUUCUCGGGGCGGGGUGCAAUUCCCCACCGGCGGUAAGGGCGCUUUGCCCAAAGCCCGCGAGCGCCUUGGUUUUCUUGGUAGAAAACCUUGGGUCAGCAGAUUUGGUGUGAUUCCAAAGCCGACGGUAUAGUCCGGAUGAAAGAGAACA
rnacentral:ncRNA from 1 species